rnacentral:rRNA from 1 species
GACGAACGCUGGCGGCGUGCUUAACACAUGCAAGUCGAACGGAAAGGCCCUGCUUUUGUGGGGUGCUCGAGUGGCGAACGGGUGAGUAACACGUGAGUAACCUGCCCUUGACUUUGGGAUAACUUCAGGAAACUGGGGCUAAUACCGGAUAGGAGCUCCUGCUGCAUGGUGGGGGUUGGAAAGUUUCGGCGGUUGGGGAUGGACUCGCGGCUUAUCAGCUUGUUGGUGGGGUAGUGGCUUACCAAGGCUUUGACGGGUAGCCGGCCUGAGAGGGUGACCGGCGACAAGGAGACUGAGAUAGGGCCCAGAAUCCUACGGGAGGCAACAGUGGGGAAUAUUGCACAAUGAGCGGAAGCCUGAUGCAGCAACGCCGCGUGCGGGAUGACGGCCUUCGGGUUGUAAACCACUUUCGCCUGUGACGAAGCGUGAGUGACGGUAAUGGGUAAAGAAGCACCGGCUAGCUACGUG